UACGUAGGUGGCAAGCGUUGUCCGGAUUUACUGGGCGUAAAGGAUGCGUAGGCGGACAUUUAAGUCAGAUGUGAAAUACCCGAGCUUAACUUGGGUGCUGCAUUUGAAACUGGGUGUCUAGAGUGCAGGAGAGGUAAGUGGAAUUCCUAGUGUAGCGGUGAAAUGCGUAGAGAUUAGGAAGAACACCAGGUGCGGAAGGCGACUUACUGGACUGUAACUGACGCUGAGGCAUGAAAGCGUGGGAGCAAACAGG
rnacentral:rRNA from 1 species